rnacentral:rRNA from 1 species
GAUGAACGCUGGCGGCGUGCCUAAUACAUGCAAGUCGAGCGAACAGACGAGGAGCUUGCUCCUCUGACGUUAGCGGCGGACGGGUGAGUAACACGUGGAUAACCUACCUAUAAGACUGGGAUAACUUCGGGAAACCGGAGCUAAUACCGGAUAAUAUAUUGAACCGCAUGGUUCAAUAGUGAAAGACGGUUUUGCUGUCACUUAUAGAUGGAUCCGCGCCGCAUUGGCUAGUUGGUAAGGAAACGGCUUACCAAGGCGACGAUGCGUAGCCGACCCGAGGGGGGGAUCGGCCACACGGGACGUGAGACAGGGUCCAGGCUCCUAGGGGGGGCGGCGGAGGGGAAUCUCCGGCAGGGGGCGAAGCCUGACGGAGCAACGCCGCGUGAGUGAUGAAGGUCUUCGGAUCGUAAAACUCUGUUAUUAGGGAAGAACAAAUGUGUAAGUAACUAUGCACGUCUUGACGGUACCUAAUCAGAAAGCCACGGCUAACUACGUG